AUGGUCUUAGCUUGCUAAGGCCGAUGGCGACCGGCGCACGGGUGAGUAACACGUAUCCAACCUGCCGUCUACUCUUGGACAGCCUUCUGAAAGGAAGAUUAAUACAAGAUGGCAUCAUGAGUCCGCAUGUUCACAUGAUUAAAGGUAUUCCGGUAGACGAUGGGGAUGCGUUCCAUUAGCCAGUUGGCGGGGUAACGGCCCACCAAGGCGACGAUGGAUAGGGGUUCUGAGAGGAAGGUCCCCACAUUGGAACUGAGACACGGUCCAAACUCC
rnacentral:rRNA from 1 species